GGCCUCUCUCUGUGGGGCAAUUGAUCAAGGGGCUCCCUGAUUGAUUGUCCAGCAGAGGGAGGCC
rnacentral:pre_miRNA from 1 species